AUUGAACGCUGGCGGCAUGCCUUACACAUGCAAGUCGAACGGUAACGGGCCUUCGGGUGCCGACGAGUGGCGAACGGGUGAGUAAUACAUCGGAACGUGCCCGAUCGUGGGGGAUAACGAGGCGAAAGCUUUGCUAAUACCGCAUACGAUCUACGGAUGAAAGCAGGGGACCGCAAGGCCUUGCGCGGACGGAGCGGCCGAUGGCAGAUUAGGUAGUUGGUGGGAUAAAAGCUUACCAAGCCGACGAUCUGUAGCUGGUCUGAGAGGAUGAUCAGCCACACUGGGACUGAGACACGGCCCAGACUCCUACGGGAGGCAGCAGUGGGGAAUUUUGGACAAUGGGCGCAAGCCUGAUCCAGCCAUGCCGCGGGCAGGAUGAAGGCCUUCGGGUUGUAAACUGCUUUUGUACGGAACGAAAAGCCUUCUUUUAAUACAGGAGGGUCAUGACGGUACCGUAAGAAUAAGCACCGGCUAACUACGU
rnacentral:rRNA from 1 species